UACAGAGGUCUCAAGCGUUGUUCGGAUUCAUUGGGCGUAAAGGGCGUGUAGGCGGUUCGGUAAGUCGGGUGUGAAAUUUCGGAGCUUAACUCCGAAACUGCAUUCGAUACUGCGGUGCUUGAGGACUGGAGAGGAGACUGGAAUUCAUGGUGUAGCAGUGAAAUGCGUAGAGAUCAUGAGGAAGACCAGUGGCGAAGGCGGGUCUCUGGACAGUUCCUGACACUGAGACACGAAGGCCAGGGGAGCAAACGGG
rnacentral:rRNA from 1 species